rnacentral:tRNA from 1 species
UGUAGCUUAGUGGUAGAGCACUUGCCUAGUAUGCAUGAAGCCCUGAGUUCCAUCUCAGCA